CGACGAAUCUUCCGCAAUGGGCGAAAGCCUGACGGAGCGACGCCGCGUGUGGGAUGAAGCGGCUUUGCCGUGUAAACCACUGUCAGGGAAUAGAAACAUUGAUCAUUUCCAAAGGAAGGGGCGACUAACUCUGUGCCAGCAGUCGCGGUAAUACAGAGGCCCCGAGCGUUAGUCGGAAUUACUGGGCUUAAAGGGUGCGUAGGCGGACUUCUAAGUGUCGCGUGAAAGCCCACGGCUUAACCGUGGAACC
rnacentral:rRNA from 1 species